rnacentral:rRNA from 1 species
AUACGGAGGAUGCGAGCGUUAUCCGGAUUUAUUGGGUUUAAAGGGUGCGUAGGCGGGAUAAUAAGUCAGCGGUGAAAGUUUUCGGCUCAACCGGAAAAUUGCCGUUGAAACUGUUGUUCUUGAGUGCAGAAGAGGUAGGCGGAAUUCGUUGUGUAGCGGUGAAAUGCGUAGAUAUAACGAAGAACACCAAUUGCGUAGGCAGCUUACCAUACUGCAACUGACGCUGAGGCACGAAAGUGUGGGUAUCAAACAGGAUUAGAUACCCUGGUAGUCCACACAGUAAACGAUGAAUACUAGCUGUUUGCGAUAUACAGCAAGCGGCCGAGCGAAAGCAUUAAGUAUUCCACCUGGGGAGUACGCCGGCAACGGUGAA